rnacentral:rRNA from 1 species
AGAGUUUGAUCCUGGCUCAGAGCGAACGCUGGCGGCAGGCCUAACACAUGCAAGUCGAACGAACUCUUCGGAGUUAGUGGCGGACGGGUGAGUAACACGUGGGAACGUGCCUUUAGGUUCGGAAUAACUCAGGGAAACUUGUGCUAAUACCGAAUGUGCCCUUCGGGGGAAAGAUUUAUCGCCUUUAGAGCGGCCCGCGUCUGAUUAGCUAGUUGGUGAGGUAAAGGCUCACCAAGGCGACGAUCAGUAGCUGGUCUGAGAGGAUGAUCAGCCACAUUGGGACUGAGACACGGCCCAAACUCCUACGGGAGGCAGCAGUGGGGAAUCUUGCGCAAUGGGCGAAAGCCUGACGCAGCCAUGCCGCGUGAAUGAUGAAGGUCUUAGGAUUGUAAAAUUCUUUCACCGGGGACGAUAAUGACGGUACCCGGAGAAGAAGCCCCGGCUAACUUCGUGCCAGCAGCCGCGGUAAUACGAAGGGGGCUAGCGUUGCUCGGAAUUACUGGGCGUAAAGGGAGCGUAGGCGGACAUUUAAGUCAGGGGUGAAAUCCCGGGGCUCAACCUCGGAAUUGCCUUUGAUACUGGGUGUCUUGAGUAUGAGAGAGGUGUGUGGAACUCCGAGUGUAGAGGUGAAAUUCGUAGAUAUUCGGAAGAACACCAGUGGCGAAGGCGACACACUGGCUCAUUACUGACGCUGAGGCUCGAAAGCGUGGGGAGCAAACAGGAUUAGAUACCCUGGUAGUCCACGCCGUAAACGAUGAUUGCUAGUUGUCGGGAUGCAUGCAUUUCGGUGACGCAGCUAACGCAUUAAGCAAUCCGCCUGGGGAGUACGGUCGCAAGAUUAAAAACUCAAAGGAAAUUGACGGGGGCCCGCACAAGCGGUGGAGCAUGUGGUUUAAUUCGAAGCAACGCGCAAAACCCUUACCACCUUUUGACAUUGCCUGGACCCGCCCAGAGAAAAUCUGGCCUUUCCUUUCG